CCCCAUGCCAUUUGGGGGAAGCUCUUUCAGUAGCUUCGAAAUACCUGCAGGUUCUCUGCGGGGUGCUCGGAAGUUGGGGCCCUAGAUCAAAUGCAGUGGUCUCAUAGUACGAGGUUGCGCUGUGGUCGAUGAUUUUCUCGCCGACCAGUUUCUCGCAACCUUGCCUCCAAUGACCCCAAUAUUCGUUAAAUCAUAUAUGUGUCCAUGUUUGUAUUAUC
rnacentral:lncRNA from 1 species